UGGGGAAUAUUGGACAAUGGGCGAAAGCCUGAUCCAGCCAUGCCGCGUGUGUGAAGAAGGUCCUCGGAUUGUAAAGCACUUUAAGUUGGGAGGAAGGGCAUUAACCUAAUACGUUAGUGUUUUGACGUUACCGACAGAAUAAGCACCGGCUAACUCUGUGCCAGCAGCCGCGGUAAUACAGAGGGUGCAAGCGUUAAUCGGAAUUACUGGGCGUAAAGCGCGCGUAGGUGGUUUGUUAAGUUGGAUGUGAAAGCCCCGGGCUCAACCUGGGAACUGCAUCCAAAACUGGCAAGCUAGAGUACGGUAGAGGGUGGUGGAAUUUCCUGUGUAGCGGUGAAAUGCGUAGAUAUAGGGAGGAACACCAGUGGCGAAGGCGACCACCUGGGCUGAUACUGACACUGAGGUGCGAAAGCGUGGGGAGCAAACA
rnacentral:rRNA from 1 species